rnacentral:rRNA from 1 species
UAGCAUAUCAAUAAGCGGAGGAAAAGAAACCAACAGGGAUUGCCCUAGUAACGGCGAGUGAAGCGGCAACAGCUCAAAUUUGAAAUCUGGCUCUUUUAGGGUCCGAGUUGUAAUUUGCAGAGAGCGCUUUGGCGUUGGCAGCGGUCCAAGUUCUUUGGAACAGGACGUCACAGAGGGUGAGAAUCCCGUACGUGGUCGCUAGCCUUCGCCGUGUAAAGCCUCUUCGACGAGUCGAGUUGUUUGGGAAUGCAGCUCUAAAUGGGAGGUAAAUUUCUUCUAAAGCUAAAUACUGGCCAGAGACCGAUAGCGCACAAGUAGAGUGAUCGAAAGAUGAAAAGCACUUUGGAAAGAGAGUCAAAUAGCACGUGAAAUUGUUGAAAGGGAAGCGCUUGCAGCCAGACUUGCCUGUAGUUGCUUAUCCGGACUUUUGUCCGGUGCACUCUUCUGCGGGCAGGCCAGCAUCAGUUUAGGCGGUUGGAUAAAGGUCUCUAUCACGUACCUCCCUUCGGGGUUGGCCUUAUAGGGGAGACGACAUGCAGCCAGCCUGAACUGAGGUCCGCGCAUCUGCUAGGAUGCUGGCGUAAUGGCUGUAAGCGGCCCGUCUUGAAACACGGACCAAGGAGUCUAACAUCUAUGCGAGUGUUUGGGUGUCAAGCCCAGACGCGUAAUGAAAGUGAACGGAGGUGGGAACCUUUUAGGUGCACCAUCGACCGAUCCUGAUGUCUUCGGAUGGAUUUGAGUAAGAGCAUGGCUGUUGGGACCCGAAAGAUGGUGAACUAUGCUUGAAUAGGGUGAAGCCAGAGGAAACUCUGGUGGAGGCUCGCAGCGGUUCUGACGUGCAAAUCGAUCGUCAAAUUUGGGCAUAGGGGCGAAAGACUAAUCGAACUAUCUAGUAGCUGGUUCCUGCCGA